rnacentral:rRNA from 1 species
CCUACGGGUGGCAGCAGUGAGGAAUAUUGGUCAAUGGGCGGAAGCCUGAACCAGCCAAGUAGCGUGCGGGAUGAAGGCCCUACGGGUCGUAAACCGCUUUUGCACGGGGAUAACACACUCCACUUGUGGAGGUCUGCAGGUACCGUGCGAUGACGGGCCGGCUAAUUCCGUGCCGGCAGCCGCGGUAAUACGGAAGGCCCGAGGGUUAUCCGGGUUCAUUGGGCUGAAGGGGAGCGUCGGCGGGCGUUCAAGUUCGCUGUAAAAUCGGGGGGCUCAACCGCGCCCCGCAGUUGAAACUGGACGCCUUGAGUUCACAACAGGCAGGCGGAAUUCGUGGUGUAGCGGUGAAAUGCAUAGAUAUCACGAGGAACCCCGAUUGCGAAGGCAGCCUGCCGGGGUGCGACUGACGCUGAGGCUCGAAGGUGCGGGUAUCAAACAGGAUUAGAUACCCUAGUAGUC